rnacentral:rRNA from 1 species
CCUACGGGAGGCAGCAGUGGGGAAUUUUGGACAAUGGGGGAAACCCUGAUCCAGCCAUGCACGACGNGAGUGAAGAAGGCCUUCGGGUUGUAAAGCUCUUUCUGGCUGGGAAUGAAAUCUGCACAGGCUAAUACUCUGUGUGGAUGACGGUACCAGCAUAAGAAGCACCGGCUAACUACGUG